rnacentral:rRNA from 1 species
AGAGUUUGAUCCUGGCUCAGAUUGAACGCUGGCGGCAGGCCUAACACAUGCAAGUCGAGCGGAUGAGAAGAGCUUGCUCUUCGAGUUAGCGGCGGACGGGUGAGUAAUGCCUAGGAAUCUGCCUGGUAGUGGGGGACAACGUUUCGAAAGGAACGCUAAUACCGCAUACGUCCUACGGGAGAAAGCAGGGGACCUUCGGGCCUUGCGCUAUCAGAUGAGCCUAGGUCGGAUUAGCUAGUUGGUGAGGUAAUGGCUCACCAAGGCGACGAUCCGUAGCUGGUCUGAGAGGACGACCAGCCACACUGGGACUGAGACACGGCCCAGACUCCUACGGGAGGCAGCAGUGGGGAAUUUUGGACAAUGGGCGCAAGCCUGAUCCAGCCAUGCCGCGUGAGUGAAGAAGGCCUUCGGGUUGUAAAGCUCUUUCGCAAGGAAAGAAAACUUAUCUACUAA